AGAGUUUGAUCCUGGCUCAGGAUGAACGCUGGCGGCGUGCUUAACACAUGCAAGUCGAACGAGGUCCAACCUUCGGGUGAAGACCUAGUGGCGAACGGGUGAGUAACACGUGGGUAACCUGCCCCUCUCUCUGGGAUAACCCCCGGAAACGGGAGCUAGUACCGGAUACUUCGAUCGGGUCGCAUGGCCUGACCGAGAAAGCUCCGGCGGAGAGGGAUGGACCCGCGGCCCAUUAGCUUGUUGGUGGGGUAAUGGCCCACCAAGGCGACGAUGGGUAGCCGAACUGAGAGGCUGAUCGGCCACACUGGGACUGAGACACGGCCCAGACUCCUACGGGAGGCAGCAGUGGGGAAUCUUGCGCAAUGGGCGAAAGCCUGACGCAGCAACGCCGCGUGCGGGAUGAAGGCUCUCGGGUCGUAAACCGCUUUCAGCAGGGACGAAAAUGACUGUACCUGCAGAAGAAGCCCCGGCUAAAUACGUGC
rnacentral:rRNA from 1 species